rnacentral:rRNA from 1 species
UACGUAGGGGGCAAGCGUUGUCCGGAUUUAUUGGGCGUAAAGAGCGUGUAGGCGGCCAGGCAGGUCCGUUGUGAAAACUCGAGGCUCAACCUCGAGACGUCGAUGGAAACCGUCUGGCUAGAGUCCGGAAGAGGAGAGUGGAAUUCCUGGUGUAGCGGUGAAAUGCAUAGAUAUCUGGAAGAACACCGGUGGCGCAAGCGGAUUGCUGGGCCAUAACUGACACUGAGGAACGAAAGCUAGGGGAGCGAAUGGG